ensembl:lncRNA
ACCCUGUACAUGUGACUGAUUACAUGGUCAACCCUGUACAUGUGACUGAUUACAUGGUCAACCCUGUACAUGUGACUAAUUACAUGGUCAACCCUGUACCCUGUAAUUACAUGGUCAACCCUGUACAUGUGACUGAUUACAUGGUCAACCCUGUACAUGUGUCUGAUUACAUGGUCAACCCUGUACAUGUGACUGAUAAACUCUCUAAUCUAAUCUGAUUGGAGCAUCUGGGGCGGCAGGUAGCCUAGUGGUUAGCGUUGGGCCAGUAACCGAAAGGUUGCUAGAUUGAAUCCCCGAGCCGACAAGGUAAAAAUCUGUUGUUCUGGCACUGAACAAGGCAGUUAACCCACUGUUCCUAGGCUGUCAUUGUAAAUAAGAAUUUGUUCUUAACUGACUUCCCAAGUUAAAUAAAAAAAAUAUUAUUAGGAAGGUGUUCUUAAUGUUUUAUACGCUGUGUUUACGUGACCUUUUGAAUGACUGGCAUGUCAGAAUGACAAGGGGUUUAUAUUGCCAUCUAGUGGCCGGUAUGAGGUCAAAAGUCCACCAGAGCCAAAAGACCAUGCCGGGUUUUCUGUCCAACAGCACGACUAACGGCAGUCGCUGUCAAAAAAACACCUUCCACGUGAUCACCUUAUCUCAGCUGUCAUUCGUUGGCCGAAGCACACGCUUUUGAACAACGUCACAACUGCAGCCAAUCGCAGGAAACAAGGAAAUGUUUCUUUCGCGCUCUGUCCCGAACAUGAGCAAUGCAACAUUCUGCCCGUUGAUGCAUGUUUAUGUCUUCCGUUCAGUCAUAGACUUCUAACUCGUAUUUCUCACCAUGGACGGUGCAUUGACUACUGAGCAUCAGGAGGAUGGGUCUUUGCGGAGGAGAAAGACCGAAGACGAAGGAGAGGAUCAGAUCGGGAGCAAGUUGUCAAAAACGGAAACCACCGGUUUGGAGUCUUGCUUGGAUGAGCCAGUUGAGUUGAGAAGUGUUCAUGAAGUCAUCAAGUAUGGAGCCUCGUCUCUGCCAGCUAAGCACUAUGACCCGGACACCACCGAGCCAAUCAGCUCCGGCCUUCAGUCCCUGGAGGAGCUGUUGUCGUGGAAACGCAGCGAGGCCAACCCCUUCAACGUGGCGACGGUGCCCCUGGCCAAUCGGGAGCCUUCUCUGACCAGCACGCCGCACCGGACUCUGGUGAGUCACGACAUGAUGGGCGGAUACCUGGAUGACAGGUUUCUGCAGGGAGCAGAGUCGGAUGCUCCCUAUGUGUUCUACCACUGGCAGUACAUCGACGUGUUUAACUACUUCAGCCACAACACGGUGACCAUCCCCCCGUCCGUCUGGACCAACGCCGCUCACAGACACGGAGUCAUCGUCCUGGGCACCUUCAUCACUGAGUGGACGGACGGGGGGAAGAUGUGCGAGGUCUUCCUGAAAGAGGAGGAGUCUUACAGGGCCGUAGCUGAUAGGCUGGUUCAGAUAGCCCACUGUUACGGCUUCGAUGGUUGGCUGAUAAACAUCGAGAACCCUCUCGGUGAGACGGCUGUGAAGAACACUCCUCUGUUUCUACGUUAUCUGACGGACCAGAUGCACGAGAGAGUCCCUGGUAGUAUGGUGUUGUGGUAUGACUCUGUUCUGGAGAACGGACAGCUCAAAUGGCAGAAUGAACUCAACCCAUCCAACAGAGUGUUUUUCUCAGCGUGUGAUGGUAUCUUCACCAACUAUAACUGGACAGAGCAGAACCUGGAGGGAAUGAAGGCCUACUCAGCUGCUCAGGGCCGGCUGGCGGACAUCUUUGUUGGGGUGGACGUGUUCGCCAGGGGAGAGGUGGUGGGGGGGAAGCUGGAGACUAAUAAGGCUCUGGAGAUGAUUCGUAAACAUGACUUCUCCACGGCCAUCUUUGCUCCAGGCUGGGUGUACGAGUCCAUCCCAGACAAGACUGACUUCAGGAAGGAGCAGGACAAGUUCUGGUCUCUUCUGUCUGACUUCCUGUAUGUCCACCGGCCCUCGUCGCCCCUCCCUUUCGUCUCCUCCUUCUGCCAGGGUGCUGGGACCAGCCUCUACUGGAGGGGACAGCGUGAGGUGGAUCGUAGCUGGUUCAACCUAGAUGCCCAGGAGCUGCAACCCCUAUACUACAGAGAGACCCUCGAGGGGGAGGGCUGGCUGAGGACCCAGGGCUGCCCUGAAGAUGCCUGGAGCGGGGGCAGCUCUCUGCUCGUAGAGGGUGUCCUACCCUCCAUGCUGUCUAAAGUCUGCGCCAGGAUCUUUUCUCUCCAGGUGCCUCUAUCCUCCAGGGUCUUUGUGUCUCUGAUCUAUAAGCCGUCUCCUGGGGUCACUGUCUCUCUGGAGUUAAAGACUGCUGAUGCUACACUCUGCACACACAGAGGUGUUCAGGAUAUACCUAGUGACAGUAUUGAGCCUGUUGCUUUAACAGAGGACCACCAGUUGAUGAGACAGUUCUCUCAGAGCUGUGGACAGUGGAACCCAGACGGAUGGACUGUCAGGUGUUCCCAGUUGGAGCUGCAGGGCUGUGCUCUGAGGGAUGUGUGUGUCAGCGUGCAGCGUGAUGGAGGAGAUAAGGACACACCUUUCAAAUGCCGGGUCGGAGAGAUUAUGAUCCUGGAUGCUGAGUCCCUCUCCGUUCCUCCCCUCCCAGUGCAGAGUGUGUGUCUCUAUGACGUGGUGUGGCUGAGGGGCGCCAAUAAACUUAAUCUCAACGCCACCCUGCGCUGGCGUUACCCUGCCCAACUCGUACGCCACUUCCUGGUGUACUGGCGCCGGCUGAGGGGUCCAGACCCCCGGAUCCCAUCUGGCAAGCUGGCCCUGAUUGGCCGAGCCUACUGCCCCUUAUUCCGGGUGACCGAGCUGACGGUUCCAGAACCUCCAGGUCUUCUAGAACUGGUGGUGGAACCCGUGUCCCGGGAGGGCUUCCGUGUUCCUGAGUCCCAAUGGGGGAGGAGGAGUCUCAGUUAUACUGAGGAGAGGACGGACCAAUCAUAA